rfam:Anaerovibrio sp. JC8 JC8_002, whole genome shotgun sequence.
GCGGAAAUAGCUCAGUUGGUAGAGCAUCACCUUGCCAAGGUGGGGGUCGCGAGUUCGAGUCUCGUUUUCCGCU